rnacentral:rRNA from 1 species
AUACGGAGGAUGCGAGCGUUAUCCGGAUUUAUUGGGUUUAAAGGGAGCGUAGGUGGGAUAUUAAGUCAGCUGUGAAAGUUUGGGGCUCAACCUUAAAAUUGCAGUUGAUACUGGUUUCCUUGAGUACGGUACAGGUGGGCGGAAUUCGGGGUGUAGCGGUGAAAUGCUUAGAUAUCACGAAGAACUCCGAUCGCGAAGGCAGCUCACCGGGCCGGAACUGACACUGAUGCUCGAAAGUGCGGGUAUCAAACAGGAUUAGAUACCCUGGUAGUCCGCACAGUAAACGAUGAAUACUCGCUGUUUGCGAUACACUGUAAGCGGCCAAGCGAAAGCGUUAAGUAUUCCACCUGGGGAGUACGCCGGCAACGGUGAAACUCAAAUGAAUUGACGGGG